rnacentral:lncRNA from 10 species
UUUUGGAGCCGUAUCGGAAGCACAAGUGUCAUGGGCUGAAAGGCCGCCUUCUCCUGCGGGCUAAGGGUGUGGGCGACAGCUCGCACAUUCAAAUAAGGGAGCGAUUACACGGCGCUUGCUUCUGAAGACGGAUUUCCUGGGACUUUUAUGCGAGUGUGAGGGCCAGCAGGUGCACAUUUGAAGCUCAGUGGGAAGUGUUUUCCAAGCAACAGGAGACAGCAGAUGCAGAUGGGGUCCAAUUACUGCUGCUCACGGCUGAUCACGCCAUGCACUUGUGUGCGGAUACCUGGCUCCUGGUCUCAGGCACCUAGUAUGGGGCUAUGCACACGGAGUGGUGUCUCACUAUGUUAGGCCAGGCUGGUCUCCAACUCCUGGCCUCAAGUGAUCCUCCCCCUCCAGCCUCCCAAAGUGCUGGGAUUACAGGCAUGAUAUACUGCGCCUGGCCUGCAACCGUCCUUUUUUCCCCCUGAUUAUUUUCGAUGUGUUGUUGGUUGAAUCCACAAAUGCAGGAACGCUCAUGGAUUCCUGAGAAGUUGGCUGGAACUAAGGGAGCAUUCAGAGACCACAGAUCCAGUUGACUGGUCCCUGCUGACAUCCAGUCCACGUUGUUGGCCACAUCAGCUCCUCUUCAAACUCAUGAUGCAAAUCAACAGCUAAACAUGUUGAUAUUUUUUGUUUCUCUCAGCUAAGUGGAUCCCUGAGUCCUCCUGGUGCAGUGGAAAGAUUUGAGUUUUGCAGCCAAAU